GAUGAACGCUAGCGACAGGCCUAACACAUGCAAGUCGAGGGGCAGCGCGGAGUAGCAAUACUUUGGCGGCGACCGGCGCACGGGUGAGUAACACGUAUGCAACCUACCAUUGAUUGGGGCAUAGCCCGAAGAAAUUCGGAUUAAUACUCCAUAAUAUUCAUCAAAGGCAUCUUUUAUGAAUUAAAGCUUUUGCGAUCAAUGAUGGGCAUGCGUGACAUUAGUUAGUUGGUGAGGUAACGGCUCACCAAAACGAUGAUGUCUAGGGGUUCUGAGAGGAUUAUCCCCCACACUGGUACUGAGACACGGACCAGACUCCUACGGGAGGCAGCAGUGAGGAAUAUUGGUCAAUGGACGCAAGUCUGAACCAGCCAUGCCGCGUGCAGGAUGACGGCCCUAUGGGUUGUAAACUGCUUUUCCACGGAAGAACCCUCCGACGUGUCGGAGACUGACGGUACCGUGGGAAUAAGCAUCGGCCUAACUCCGUG
rnacentral:rRNA from 1 species